rnacentral:rRNA from 1 species
UACGCACUGUGCGAACGUUAUUCGGAAUCACUGGGCUUAAAGGGUGCGUAGGCGGCGGCUCAAGUCAGGUGUGAAAUCCCCCGGCUCAACCGGGGAACAGCGCUUGAAACUGGGUUGCUGGAGUGAGGCAGGGGUGUAUGGAACUUCCGGUGGAGCGGUGAAAUGUGUAGAGAUCGGAAGGAACGCCGGCGGCGAAAGCGGUACACUGGGCCUUGUCUGACGCUGAGGCACGAAAGCUAGGGGAGUGAACGGG